rnacentral:rRNA from 1 species
GAUGAACGCUGGCGGCGUGCCUAAUACAUGCAAGUCGAGCGAACAGACGAGGAGCUUGCUCCUCUGACGUUAGCGGCGGACGGGUGAGUAACACGUGGAUAACCUACCUAUAAGACUGGGAUAACUUCGGGAAACCGGAGCUAAUACCGGAUAAUAUAUUGAACCGCAUGGUUCAAUAGUGAAAGACGGUUUUGCUGUCACUUAUAGAUGGAUCCGCGCCGCAUUAGCUAGUUGGUAAGGUAACGGCUUACCAAGGCGACGAUGCGUAGCCGACCUGAGAGGGUGAGUGGCAAGAGGGGGACUGAGAAACGGUCGAGACAGAGACGGGGGGAAGAAGUAGGGAAGAGUCAGAAAGGGGUGAAGGCCUGAAGGAGAAAAGAAGAGGGAAUAAUGAAGGUAUUAGGAUCGUAAAACUCUGUUAGUAGGGAAGAACAAAAGUGUAAGCAAAUAUGCACGUCGGGACGGGACCUAAGAAGAAAGCCACGGCUAACUACGUG